GUUAUAAAGCAGGUAUGUUUAUUUGGCUGGCCGGGUGCAAGGGGGAUCACUCCACCAAACUUGCACACCAGCGAGCAAAAAGCGCUACGGAUUUGUAAGCCAAAGCCAUACAUAUUCAGCAGAAUUCUUGGAAGUCAUCUACAUAUUCAUUAUCCUUCCGGAAAUUCAUUUACAUACUGCCCCUCCCCCGGCGCACGCGCUGUCCUUAAGAGGGGUCUCCCUCUGGUGGUCGUGGGGAUGAAGUCAGAAGUGUUCCUCGCGAAGGCUUCACGUCUUCCUCGGUCUGACCUUCUUACGGUGCAUUCAAACCAGUCAAAGCCAUUCCUUUUGCAUCGUUUCCUUUCUUUGUGUUUGCACAGCUGACCAUGAAAUGUUGAGAUGUCGUUCUCCUUCCCUGGUUUCUAAAGCUAGCUUAUUUAACCCCUAUGUGUUCAAACCCCAGACCCACCUGAGCUCCUGAUCUCACCCCCAUCCACCCAACCUGUGAUGCCAUCACAGAAGGCCACCAGGUUGGCCGAGCGCUAUUUCCUCUUGGUGAACCCACGCUGACCAUUCCUCAUAUCCUUCUUCUCUUCCAAUUGCUUGGAGAUGGCAUCCAGAAUCAGCUGUUCCAUCACCUUCCCAGGGACAGAGGUGAGACUGACUGGCCUGUAGUUUCCCAGACCCUCCUCCUUGCCCUUUCUGAACACCAGAGGGACACUGGCUAUCCUCCAGUCUUCAGGCACCUCUCCUGUUUUCCAGGGCCUAUCGAAGACGACAGAGAGCAGUUCAGCAGUCACCUCUGCCAGCUCCCUCAGCACACGUGGAUGCAUCCCAUCGGGACCCAUGGAUUUGUGCUGAUCCCACACUGAUCCCACCCAGACUCUUCUGGACCAUCCCCUCCUCAACCAGAGGGGAAGUUCUGCUACGUUAUAGAUGAGUAUACGCAUGGAUACUUUGCUGUGAGGUCACUUGUGCAAGCAGAACUCACCACCUUGUACCAAACAUGUGGCUGAGAUGCUGUUUGAGAGGUUAUUUCUGUCUCUGGAAGUGACAGACCUGCAGCAGGAACAAGGCUGGCAAAGGGCCUUGGAAGACAUUCUUUCUGUAGUAGCCAAUACGACAGCCUUUAAUUCCGGGCUGAGCUCUGUACCUUUAGGAAUGCAGCUCAUGGUCAUCCCCGUGUGUCUGGUAAGCCAGCAGAAGGCACCCGCUUGGCAGGUGGAUUGAGAGAUCCCUUCUGCCUGGGAAGCUGAUUGCCUGCAUACAGGAAGAGGCCUUGGGUAUGGGUUUUCACAUCCCCCGAACAUUAGCACAUGAUGGGUGCAUAACACGGACGUGUCUACCUGCAAGGUCAGCAUCAGGCAUGUGACUUGAAAGGUCACGGUGAGAUUUCAUCUGUGUGGCGUGCUGGAAGGCCAAAAGGAGCUGAUGGAUCUACCCUGGAGGGUAGAUGGUGAGAGGAUGGCACUUUCCGUCUACCUGAACUGGUGGAAGACAUUUGAUACUGCCCUGUAUGAGACCCUUCCCUCUGAAGAGAGAGGGGUGAGGCGUGAAUUGAUGGAUGGACCACUCACUGUAUGUCGAAUUGGAUGGAUGGUCACAGCCAGAGUUGUGGUCAACCGCUCAGUGGCUGUGUGGAUACAAUGGUAUUUUUCAGGAGUCUGCAAGUGCUGCUGGGCUUGGGGCUCGGGUUCUGUUCAGCAUAUGGUGUGACAGAGCAGCCCGACCCCAGCCCGGGGGUGGGCACGCACUGCUGGGGAGCCCGCGUGCUGACAGAGGCCGGCACCCUCCAAGCAGGCCUUGUUCCCUACAGGCAGCAGCAUCAGCUGGAGCUGGAGGCAGCCCACGUGCCUGGGGCUGUGCUGCCGGAGCUGGUGGAGGCAGAGCUGGUAAGGGGCAGAGCCCAGCGCACCCUCACCCUGUCCGACAAGGUUCUCCUCGGGGACAGGGCUCCCUGCAGUGCUGGGGCUGCCACUGUCCUGCACGAGCUCCGGCUGUGCAGCAGGGCCUGACCAGCGCCCCUGCCCCAUCUUCACCUACAGGAGAAGAAGGAGCAGGCGAGGAGACGAGGGCUCGCCUUCUGGAUGAAGACAAUCUGCCUCAUCUUCGUCAGCCUCCUGCUGCUGCUCGUUGCCGUGCUGGGCUCUGCAGUGCUGUACGCCCAGCACUAUGACCAGGAGCUGUUGUAUCGGCUCCUGCUGCGAGUGCUGCCCCAGGCAAUGUACGCUUCCCCGGCGUACUUUGCGAGCAGGAGCCUGCGUGUCGUCUGUGAUGGGCUGCUGCCCAUCUGACCGCCCCUCUCAGUCCCCCCUCCCAGCUCGGGGCUGCGCAGUGGUGGGGUGCAGGGAGAGAGCUCUGUCCCCACGGAAGGGGCCUCUCCUGUGCUCCUGCCCCCAGGGGCGCACAGGCACAGCUGUGGGGCAGUGCCGGCAGGCGGCUGAGUGCCACCACUUUGGACUUACAAAUAAGUUGGUACUGUCGUCGUCAACUGAACACCACCACCUCCGACGACCCAUCAGACUGAAGAUGUGCACCUGACGCCAGGACGUGGCUUCUUGGAUUCUUUGAGUCUUCGUAGCAAUUUCCUUCAGCUGGUUACCUGUAAGGCUUAUGAAUUGUAAUUAGCCCAU
ensembl:lncRNA